AGAGUUUGAUCCUGGCUCAGGAUGAACGCUAGCGGCAGGCCUAAUACAUGCAAGUCGAACGGUGGUAGCAAUACCAUAGUGGCGCACGGGUGCGUAACACGUAUGCAACCUACCUAUUAUUGGGGGAUAGCCUUUGGAAACGGAGAUUAAUACCGCAUAAUACGAUUGACUGGCAUCGGUUGAUUGUUAAAGCUUAGGCGAUAAUAGAUGGGCAUGCGUCCAAUUAGUUAGUUGGUUAGGUAACGGCUGACCAAGACGAUGAUUGGUAGGGGAUCUGAGAGGAUAAUCCCCCACACUGGCACUGAGAUACGGGCCAGACUCCUACGGGAGGCAGCAGUAGGGAAUAUUGGGCAAUGGGCGGAAGCCUGACCCAGCCAUGCCGCGUGCAGGAAGAAGGCGUUAUGCGUUGUAAACUGCUUUUUUAUAGGAAGAAGGAUCCCUUGCGAGGGAAGGUGACGGUACUAUAAGAAUAAGCACCGGCUAACUCCGUGCCAGCAGCCGCGGUAAUACGGAGGGUGCAAGCGUUGUCCGGAUUUAUUGGGUUUAAAGGGUGCGUAGGCGGUUUAUUAAGUCAGUGGUGAAAGACGGUCGCUCAACGAUUGCAGUGCCAUUGAUACUGGUAG
rnacentral:rRNA from 1 species